CGCCAAGUAGAGAAAAAGGGUCGGUCCCCGUCACCAUUCGGGCGACGUCGGGGGCCGAUCCGACCUUCCGGUCCCGCUCCGGUCUCAGCGGCC
rnacentral:tRNA from 1 species